AUUGAACGCUGGCGGCAUGCCUAACACAUGCAAGUCGAGCGAGCGGCGGACGGGUGAGUAAUGUCUGGGAAACUGCCUGAUGGAGGGGGAUAACUACUGGAAACGGUAGCUAAUACCGCAUACCAUCAGAUGUGCCCAGUUGGGCUUCGCUAGUAGGUAGGGUAACGGCUCACCUAGGCAACGAUCCCUAGGUGGUCUGAGAGGAUGACCAGCCACACGGGAACUGAGACACGGUCCAGACUCCUACGGGAGGCAGCAGUGGGGAAUAUUGCACAAUGGGCGCAAGCCUGAUGCAGCCAUGCCGCGUGAGUGAAGAAGGCCUUCGGGUUGUAAAGCACUUUCAGCGGGGAGGCGUUACCCGCAGAAGAAGCACCGGCUAACUCCGUGCCAGCAGCCGCGGUAAUAC
rnacentral:rRNA from 1 species